UUUAAUUGUAAAUAAAUUCUGAUUCUAUUUUGCUUUCAAUAUUAACAAUAACUGAAAGACACGGACAGAAUCGCGAUUUAAAAUUCAAGUUUCCGAUCUGAAUUGUAAAAAAUUACAUAAUAUCUGCUCAGUUCACAUUGAGAGUUACCCGAUAGUCGAUUCGUGAUUGCUUUACAUUCUCGCGUGUUUUUACUCGUAUCGGGUAAAUUUCGCAUGCGAGCGAGUGUCAGAAGUGUCAAAUUGAGCAACGAACGAUCACUUCGAUGCAUCUAUUAAUCCGCGCGAUCACGUGUUUUUCAAUAUCGAAAUAACAUUACACUAUUACGCGCCAGGAUAUUACAUGGCAGAUUUCGAAAACUUCAGAUUGUACGUAAAUUAUUAAAUUAGAGAAUUGAUACAAUCUCAAGUUUGCGUAACGCAAGCGAAUUAGUAAAUUUCUAUUAUUAUGGCAUCUGGAUUUCCGGGAAGCGCUCGCAGAGUCAGCUCACAGGCAGCUUACAGCGAAAAAUAUUUAACAGGGUGUUCGACCGCUUUAUCCUUCAGUGCUUUCUUAAUCGUCGUCAGUUGUACAACGUACGUCCAAGAUCGAAUUGUGUGCGCUCUGUGUUUCUCGCAUUUUUUUUUACUUGUCGAAAGUGAAUUUGAUGUGCAAAUAUCGGGAAUGUCGAAUCAAAUGAUGCAUGAUCAUCUCAGUUUAUUAAUUCGUACGAUCGCAAUUAACGCGUUUUCCAAUAUUUGUAAUAAUGCGUCACGAUUUCGGAAAUUCCAAUUUUAUGGAACGCGAGUGAACUGAUGGAUUAGUGAAACGGCAAGGUUUUACGAAAAACGAGUGAAUUGACGAAUUAGUGAAGUGCAGAUAUCAUAGUGCGUGGAUGCAUAUAGUGAUCAAGAGAAUACCAUAUUCCGGACGAGGAUUGCCUGGAGCGAAGGAACAACUAAGAAUAAAAAGGAAUGCAGUGACCCCUCCCCCCCCCCCUAAACCAGGAAAAAGUAACAAGUACGAUAGCAUCGAUCGAGCUCGUUGCUGACAUUGAAGAUCCGAAGAAAGAUACAAGAAUGCGAUAAAAAGCAGCGAGAAUGAAGAAUGCGUACUUGGAAAAAAACGCGUCGAAAAUGCGACAUUUCGCACAAGUUCGAGACGUCAAAGAAUACACGUGUUUUCAAGUCCGAAAGAAACUAAAAGUAUCGUAAGAAAGUGGAGCUAUUGCAAAAUUUGAACGACUCGGAUUAGCCUAACAUUCAUUUACAACAAUGUAUUUACUUAGGACAGGUUUAAAUAAACUGUUUUAAUAAAUUAUUGGUUGUUGGUCGGCUCGUUUUAUUGACGCUUGCAUGCAAGCGGGUCUUCAACAGGCCUCGAGUUGACAUCUCACACGGUAAAAUGUAAAAGUAUUAUAUAUUAUGCGUAACUUGAAGGUCGCGUUCAGCGUCGAUUAUGUAUCAAUCGCCAGGAGCUUAUUUUCAGAAUAGCGUGUGACAUCAUUUUAAAAAUAUUGCAAGACUAGUAAAUAAACUCGGAAUGUUUUGACAACAAUAGAAUUUGCAAAACUGUUACUAAAUAACAUUAUCUCGAAAAUAAUUUCAAGAUAAGGAAGCUAAUGGACGAAACAAUAUUUGCUAAUUGCUAUCGAUCGCUGUUAAUGAUGGAAAAGGUACAUUUAUAAAUAUCUUCAUGCAUUAAGAGAUGCAUAAUCUUUUUAUGACAUUCCCAGCUGUGCGAGAAAACUGCAAAUGGGGAUAAUCGCGGCGAAACGCGUAAUUAUGCGUAUCAGAUCCAGUGAAACGAUACCAACUGCAUAUUUUCCCUUGCAACGCAACAGCCUGCCCGUAUCCUAAGUCGUUUCACCUUGAAAAUAUUAAUAACUCCCGCAAAACUGGGGACUAUCAUUUCGAGGCAUUGGCUAUCGGUUACACCCCUCUGCACUAAGUUUUUAAAGCAUCAUCGAUAAUCACAGAGUGUACGCAUUUAAAAAAAAUCCAAAGACGGAGUCUGAAAACCACGCGGUAUGAUUAUCGUGUGCGCGGUAUCUGGUUCAAAGAUAAUUUGAAUCAACCGUAUCAGCCUACAGUUCAUAAUUUAUGUACACAUUACUUGGAGAAAUCUUAAUAAAAUGGAGACUGAUUUCAAUCUGAGAUUCGAAUUCAAAUCCAGAGAGUGGGACACUCGGGCGAAGCCCAACAUGCGUUCCGUCGGAA